rnacentral:piRNA from 1 species
UAUGAUGCAGGCCUUACUAGGUGCAGUU